UAUCAGUCAUGCAUAGCAUAUCAAUAAGCGGAGGAAAAGAGGGCUACUUACCUACGCUUAGGAUGUUGACGCGCGUGUGUGCGUGAGUCUAUACAUGACUCUGUGCAUAUCAAUAAGCGGAGGAAAAGAAACUAACAAGGAUUCCCCUAGUAACGGCGAGUGAAGCGGGGAAGAGCUCAAAUUUGAAAUCUUAAAGGGUUUCCCUUUACGAAUUGUAGUUUAAAGAAGUGUUUUCUGUUGAGGUUUUGGUAAAAGUUCUUUGGAAUAGGACAUCAUAGAGGGUGAGAAUCCCGUAUUUGACCGUUACUUUCCAGCUGUGUGAUACACUUUCAAAGAGUCGGAUUGUUUGGGAAUGCAGUCCAAGAUGGGUGGUAAAUUUCAUCUAAAGCUAAAUAUUGGCGAGAGACCGAUAGCGAACAAGUACCGUGAGGGAAAGAUGAAAAGAACUUUGAAAAGAGAGUUAAACAGUACGUGAAAUUGUCAAAAGGGAAGCGUUUGACACCAGUGUUGUUUCUCUGAAAAUCAAUUAAAGAACUGUUUAUGCUAAGCUGUUUAGACUUUAUCAGCUAUCUGUUUAGUUUUGAGCUUUUCUUUAAUGCACUUUUCAGUUAACAAGUCAACAUCAAUUUCUUUUGCUGUAAAAAAGCUUGAGGAAGGUGGCUUGAGAUUCGUCUUAAGUGUUUAUAGCCUCUUGCCUAUGCAGUCGGAGAGAUUGAGGUCUGCAGCGUAGAUCCUUCGGGGCUAAAUGCAUUUGUGCUAAGUUAUAGCAUUUUAUAGACAACUUGUUGACUAUGAUUUGUCUUGUAGCUUACUCGCUUAUGUUAUUUUACCUACGCUUAGGAUGUUGACGCGCGUGUGUGCGUG
rnacentral:rRNA from 1 species